UACGUAGGGUGCAAGCGUUGUCCGGAAUUAUUGGGCGUAAAGGGCUCGUAGGCGGUCUGUCAAGUCGGGAGUGAAAACUCAGGGCUUAACCCUGAGCCUGCUUCCGAUACGGGCAGACUAGAGGUAUGCAGGGGAGAACGGAAUUCCUGGUGUAGCGGUGAAAUGCGCAGAUAUCAGGAGGAACACCGGUGGCGAAGGCGGGUCGCUGGGCCGAAACUGACGCUGAGGAGCGAAAGCGUGGGGAGCAAACAGG
rnacentral:rRNA from 1 species